rnacentral:rRNA from 1 species
UACGAAGGGGGCUAGCGUUGUUCGGAAUUACUGGGCGUAAAGCGCACGUAGGCGGAUAUUUAAGUCAGGGGUGAAAUCCCAGAGCUCAACUCUGGAACUGCCUUUGAUACUGGGUAUCUUGGAGUAUGGAAGAGGUAAGUGGAAUUGCGAGUGUAGAGGUGAAAUUCGUAGAUAUUCGCAGGAACACCAGUGGCGAAGGCGGCUUACUGGUCCAUUACUGACGCUGAGGUGCGAAAGCGUGGGGAGCAAACAGGAUUAAGAAACCCUGAGU